UAUCUGGUUGAUCCUGCCAGUAGUCAUAUGCUUGUCUCAAAGAUUAAGCCAUGCAUGUCUAAGUAUAAGCAAUUUAUACAGUGAAACUGCGAAUGGCUCAUUAAAUCAGUUAUCGUUUAUUUGAUAGUACUCUUACUACUUGGUAUAACCGUGGUAAUUCUAGAGCUAAUACAUGCUAAAAACCCCGACUGUUUGGGAGGGGUGUAUUUAUUAGAUAAAAAAUCAAUGCUCUUCUGAGCUCUUUGAUGAUUCAUAAUAACUUUUCGAAUCGCAUGACUUUGUGUCGGCGAUGGUUCAUUCAAAUUUCUGCCCUAUCAACUUUCGAUGGUAGGAUAGUGGCCUACCAUGGUUUCAACGGGUAACGGGGAAUAAGGGUUCGAUUCCGGAGAGGGAGCCUGAGAAACGGCUACCACAUCCAAGGAAGGCAGCAGGCGCGCAAAUUACCCAAUCCUAAUUCAGGGAGGUAGUGACAAUAAAUAACGAUACAGGGCCCUUUCGGGUCUUGUAAUUGGAAUGAGUACAAUGUAAACACCUUAACGAGGAACAAUUGGAGGGCAAGUCUGGUGCCAGCAGCCGCGGUAAUUCCAGCUCCAAUAGCGUAUAUUAAAGUUGUUGCAGUUAAAAAGCUCGUAGUUGAACUUUGGGCUUGGUCAGUCGGUCCGCUUUUUUGCGUGUACUGAUCCUGACCGAGCCUUUCCUUCUGGCUACCUUGUCUUUCGGGGCAAGUGAACCAGGACUUUUACUUUGAAAAAAUUAGAGUGUUCAAAGCAGGCCUUUGCUCG
rnacentral:ncRNA from 1 species